rnacentral:rRNA from 1 species
AGUCGUACGAGAAGCCCGAAGCUUGCUUUGGGCGAGUAAAGUGGCGCACGGGUGAGUAACGCGUGGGUAAUCUGCCUUUGAAUUCGGGAUAACACUUCGAAAGGUGUGCUAAUACCGGAUAACAUCGAUUUACCUUAGGUUAAAUCGAUCAAAGAUAGCCUCUACAUGUAAGCUAUUGUUUGGAGAUGAGCCCGCGUACCAUUAGCUUGUUGGUGGGGUAAUGGCCUACCAAGGCCGCGAUGGUUAGCUGGUCUGAGAGGAUGAUCAGCCACACUGGAACUGGAACACGGUCCAGACUCCUACGGGAGGCAGCAGUGAGGAAUUUUGCGCAAUGGGGGCAACCCUGACGCAGCAACGCCGCGUGAGUGAAGAAGGCUUUCGGGUCGUAAAGCUCUGUCAAGUGGGAAGAAACUGUUUAGUGUAAACAGCACUAGGCACUGACGGUACCACUGAAGGAAGCACCGGCUAACUCCGUGCCAGCAGCCGCGGUAAUACGGAGGGUGCAAGCGUUAUUCGGAUUUACUGGGCGUAAAGGGCGCGUAGGCGGUUUGAUAAGUCAGUCGUGAAAGCCCGGGGCUUAACCCCGGAAGUGCAAUUUGAAACUGUCAGGCUUGAGUAUGGU